ACAAAACGAAAUGCAUCAUACUAUACUGCUGCUGCUACUGAGAUUUGCCACAAUUUCUGUAUCAUGUGUUACAACGAGACUCGCAGUUGCACGAUUCUGGUGGAAAGGUGGGUUAUGUGUGACAAAUGUGAACACUGGAAGCAUCAGAUUUGUGCCCUUUUUAAUUUUCAAAAGGGGUGAUUCUAAAGAAGCAAAAUGUACUUGCCCUAAAGUGUUGUUCUUGGGACUAAAUAUCUGCCAAGGGUCGUUCUUAGCAAUCAUAUACAAGAACAACUCUUUAAACGGUUCAGAGAAGAGAGACACGAACAUGCCAUUCAUGAUGGGAAAAGCUUUGAUGAGGUUAGUGCUGCCUCAUCAAUUCAUAGAAUCUUACGUUUAUGGAUCCUAUGUUUUCUUUUUCUUGGUUAUGUCUUGGUUCCUCUUUCCUGAAUAUGAAAUUUGUAGCUUGUGUACUUCUUAGAAACGGAGAUGUGUUGCUCCAUCUGCUUAUUUUUAUUCUGUUUGAAGAAUUGACAGUAUUUAAAUGUUUGUUUUGCUAGAUCCUUGUUUCAUGCAUGUGCACCUUUUUCCAAACCAGGAGCUUUUCAUUACUGAAUAAGUACAUAGCUAUAGUCAUACUAAAGGCUGAAAAUGAAGCUAGGAUUCAUAUUUAUCCUGGCACACCUUUGCCGCUCAGGCAAAGCAUUUUUUACACGCAGGUCAGCAACAACAUUAGUUGGUCUAUGCACAAACUUAAAUUUAAAACAAAAACCUACUUAGUUCGGUCACUUCCUUCAGGAUGGGGGUGUUCAGUCUUCAGCAUCACUGGACCAAAAUAUAUUGCUAGUUGAUGUAUUGUUUUAAUGAGGGUUUCGUUUACGAGUGUGUGCAGUAUGUAUAAGACUAGGAGUAUUGGAUGGUUGUCAGUUGGCAGUAUCUAUUUUGAACAAAGUUUGUAGUAUGUAUAGGGGUGAUAGGUUGGGUAGGAACUUGUCCUCUAAUUACUAUGGUUGUAGUUAAAUUACUAUGGGGUGAUAAGUUUGUAGUUUAUCAGUAACAUCUCCAUAUCAUUGAGUCUGAAAAACAGUUGUAGCAUCUUUAUUAUACUGGAUUUUAUUCAUUUUGGUGGGCUGUGAGAAUACCUUGAAAAAGAAUACCUUGAAGUAGAGAGAAUACCUUGAAAAAGAAUUGAAAGCCCACUAGGCUAAGAAAACUGCGGCAAAAUCAUCCUCCCAUCCCUGGGUCGGUUCAGCAUGUCCCUUUUAAAUAUGCAACAAACACAAGGCAAAAGAUUAAUCCAUGUACUUCAUCUUACCUUAUAUAGUUUGUCUUUAAUCUAACCAUAUCAUUUCAGAAUAUUAUUUGGUCGAUAUUUUACCACGUGCAACAUAUAUGCAAAUGUAAACACAUGGCAAAAGGCUAGUCAAUUCGCAGGGACUAACUUUGUACUGUUGCUAUUUGUCCCAAACAUCUAAUACUCAUAACUAACUUCAUUGCCUCCAUUGUUAGGCUAAAAUCUAGAGCCGACAACGGAGUAAUUACUAACCAUCAGUUCACAAAAACGCAAUCUAACGAGAAGUUACAGAGUAUAUACUGAUAUGCCAUGACCAUCUGAUAAGAAGAAAUCAGAGUAUCUAAAGAAGCAAAACAUAUCCCGCUAGCAAGAGAAAGUUGUGGCGGCCAGUGAGAAUAUCGAUGGAUCUAGCUUAAGUACCUGCAAUUUUCUUUUUCCAUAUAUAUUUUGCCUUCUAAAGAUUAGUUAUUGACAAUUGAGAUUCAAUAGAAUACCCAGAAGCAUGAGUAUUCAAUAUCUGCCUUUGUUCUGGUCUGUAGAAGCAGUGGAAAUAGAACUUGAUUUAUCAUUCAGUGAGAAAUCACAAAAAAUUCAGUAAAUCUCAUAUCUUCAACAAUUUGCUGGCGUGAGAGUGAUGAUUGUGGCAGCAAGCUCGCUAGCGAUGGAGGAAAGCAGCAAGAGGGAACAUGAAUGGGAUUGGGCAUUGGUAUAGUGAGUGUGUUAGUUUCGGCCAGGCUGCCCACCAUGUGUGUGUUUCAGCUGAAACACCAUAAAGCUAAUUAAUUAUUCAUGUUUAUUUGUCUUUCAUUUCAUCAAAUUAAAAUGUCUAAUCAAAAUUUUGUAUUCACAUAGGUGGAUUAUAUUGGGGUUUAUAGAUGUCAAACUUCUGGAUAGGAAUGUUUCAUUUGACUAUUUUGAGCAUGUAUUUCACUCAGAAUCCCCACCAUUGUUCUUUGUGGAGUAAUUCUGAUUAAUACUUGGCAAAAGCAUGUUAGACUAUUCUUCUAUAAUUAAUUUUGAUUACUAUAUUUUGGGUAAUUCUUAUUUGGCAGGAGCAUAGGACACACUUUACAACAAAAUUAUUUACCAUUUUAGUGGACUCGGAAUUGAAUGAUGAUAUGUGUUUCGCAGAAAAAGAAUAUCAAACGGAAUGAAACCUU